AGAAAAAAACAAGAGAGAGAGAACAAUCGCAAUGAAUCCAGAGAAGAAUUGUACAAGCUUAAUAAUCAGAAGUGCAUAGAGCAAAUUUUACUUCUGCUUAUAAAAAAAAUUACUUCUAAAAAAAAGGCCCUUUAUCAUUUGAAUUUAAUUAUGCCAAUUAAAUAAGGUUCAAUAUUGUUUAAACUCAGAGUCAAAUUUAUAUCAAAAUACUGACGAACAAAUACUAAACUAUGAUUAACAAUAUCAUCCGGCAAUAUUGUUCUAUUUAAUAGAAUUAUGAACUUCCAGAAACAAUAAUCAUCCAAUUUCCUAGCUAGCUAUAUGAACACAGCUAUUUUGUAAAUCAUCUCUUCCUAGUGAUCAAAUCAAACAAUUUGUGCCACAAUAAAAGUACAUAAAUAUGAAAAUGAAGGGGGAAAAACCCAAACACAAAAGAAACAUCUGCCUCUAUCUCGUUUCAAUGUGAUAACAUAAUACAGAAACGAUCAAAAUAAAAUGAUUCGAAGGAAAAGAAAUGGAAUAAAAAAGGUAUAGUCAUCGAUAGCCAUCGAUUCAUGCCCCAAUUAAACCUGCAUUCUCAGUACUGUAUCCAAAUCCAGACCGAAACCCGAAAACCAAUCACGAGAAACACGCAUAGAUACGAAGUAUUUACCAAAGAUCAACCCCAAAAAAAUUUCAAAAGACCACAAACCCAAAACUCCCCUUGGGCCUCAGGUCAGACCCCAAAUGGAAUUUCCAGUUCUGAAAUAAGGAAACGAUGGGUAAUGGCUCCGACCCAGAAGA
rnacentral:misc_RNA from 1 species